rnacentral:tRNA from 1 species
GAAAUAUCUGAUAAGUAAAAGCUGCUAACUUACUACUGUAGUGGUUUAAUUCCACUUAUAUUUCU